UGCUCCAGACCAAAAGGUUUCUCAGCUGAGAAGUGCUGCUGUAUGCUGCUCUUGGUGCACAGCAAUAGGAUGGGCUGGGAAGAAAUAGCUGAAUUUUCACUUUAUUUUUGCUCUCAAAGAUCAAGGUACAGCAAAGCUCUGUCAAAUCACUGCUAAUCUUGCAGUGAUUAGCCUUCAGCCUGAAGGAGCUGGUGCACUGAUUUUUCUCCUUGCACAAGAAGCUGCAGUGAGGGAUCGGGACACUAGAUGGUGGUGUCACUCCAGAAACAUUCCAGCGAUGUGUGACAAUGCCGGGCCACCAAACCACGGCUCUUUCAGCGCGGUUUGCUCCCUGCAACACGAAAUUUGAGGUUCAGCAGGAAGUGAGACCCAGCAGAUGCUCCUUGCCUUCUUGAAUAACUCUUCAAAGUGCUGGCCUCUCUUUUUUCAAAGGAAUUUUGAACCUACUCUAUUGACCUGAAAAAUUCCUACUAGGCAAGUGCCACUGUAAUUUUUAGGCUCAAAACAAGUUUGUUGUACUGGUUCUGCAUGGAUGUGGGCUCUUGCUAGGGAUAGGAGGAUGUUUCUUUCACUCACUGUAUUUCAAGUUCAACACAGACUUUGUCAGCCUGGAGCUCAAAGUUUUAUCUGCUUGUGCCCAGUUGUAAGCAAGAGCAGCUCUA